CAGUUUUUCUGUUUGUUUCUUAUUCUUUCCAUAUUGUCUUUGCUUGAUUCAAUCGGGGGAUUGAAUCAAGGGUGUAGAGGUUAGUUGGUGAGCCGAGUGUAAAACCAACAUGUAAGGGUUCGAUUGUGAUCCCGAGAAAACAAUCGGGGUUGGUUCUAGUCGGUGAGCCUGGAAAAACCGACCGAGUUCGUUGUGAGCUCGUAAAACAACAAGUUUGGUUGUAAGCUUGGAAAACAACCGGCUGUAAUCCAAGGGGUUAUAGUGAAUUCCCAAGUGAGACUUGGGGAGUGGACGUAGGAGCAAGGAUUAGCUCCGAACCACUAUAAAAUCCUUGUGUUUGUGAUUGUUUGUCUCUUUCUUUUACUCUCAUUUCAUUCACAACACACAGCAAUCAAUUAGUCAUCUUGGUAAAGCAUUAAUUAGUCAUCCACAACGUUUUAAUUGCAAAAUUAUUUUAAAACCCAAUUCACCCCCCCUCUUGGGUUGUCUAUCUGGGCAACAAGUGGUAUCAGAGCCUAAACUCUUCUACCCUAAGAGUAAAAGAUCGAAAUGACAACCCCAUUUGGAUCUUCCCACAUUGAGGGUCAGUCCACCCAAAGACCCCCAUUCUUUAAUGGAUCCGAUUACUCAUAUUGGAAGGCUAGGAUGAGAAUAUUCAUCCAAGCCCAAGACUAUGAGAUGUGGACCAUUGUAUCAAAUGGACC
rnacentral:lncRNA from 1 species